rnacentral:tRNA from 1 species
GCCUGGGUGGCUCAGUAGGUUAAGCGUCUGACUUCAGCUCAGGUCAUGAUCUCAUGGUUCGUGGGUUUGAGCCCCGCAUCGGGCU